rnacentral:lncRNA from 1 species
UCUUUUAGCUCUGGAUGACUGAACUGAUAUGAUACAAUUAAAUUUUAUUUGCCAUUCAUCAAGAGAAAGGUGAUUCAUUGCAGUUUUCAUAAGUGUUUAAAACAUUACCCACAUACAACUGGAAAUUUUUUUUAACCAUCUCAAUAUCUCACUCAUUUGCCAUUCAUUGACUCUGAGUUAAAUGACUGCAUAUCUGUGGUAUGUCUGCUAGACUUUAAGCAUGCUCAGAGACUAGUAGACAGAUUUUAAUUGGCAUGUCAGUCAUUAGCUUAAUAUAAUUGUGAUAAUUGAAGUCAGCGCAGUUGAGUCGUCUGAAAUUAGUCUGUUAUUUGAAGAAAGUCAAGGCGAACGACAUUUUGGCACCGCGCGCGCGGUAUUUCCAAUUAGUACUCGUGUUACAUGAAAAAUGCACUCCUUUCCGGCCAAUCAGACACGCGCAAUUUAUUUAUGUAUCUUAUUAACGAUGUAAUCCCAUUAUUAAUGGUUUAGUAACGUAUGUAGAUACAUCAAAAGGGUUUUUCUAUCGAUUAGUACCUUCAGCGCUUUCUAAAACAAGUGCUAAGUUCGUAUAGUUUACGUUAAUAACCCAUUUCUAAUGGCAAAUUUAAAUUCAAAUCCCCGAGUUUUGUCAAAUUUUGUUUCGUAAUAAAUUAUCAUAAUUGUUUUUGGGAUCAUCUUACAGCACUUAUAAAUCAUCAAUCUGAAAUAUACGUGUCUUCAUCCGAUGCAAAAAAAAAGCUUAGUGUUCUGUUCUUCGACAUGGUUGCAGAUUAAAGCACUAUAUAAUACCCCUGAUUCGAAGUGCUAAGGGAAACGAAAAGGCAGAUGGACAUAACGGGAAAUUCAGGGGAGAAAGUUGUAAAUGAUUGAGUUUAAAAUCAGCCUACAGCUAGUCACCGUAUUGGAAUCUUUUUAAAAUUAAACGAAAGUUAACGAAGAACUCUCCGAUCAUUUGUGGUCGGAAAACUGAUUUGAAUUACAAAUAACUUUGAAACAUAAAUAUUCAUAUUUGAGAUCAGACUUGCACGUGGAAAGAAUCGACGAGAUCUAAGAAAUGUCAGCAUCUUUUCCAACUUCUCAGGGGCCGGGGAAUACUUAAUUUCAAUCCAAAUACCUUGGAUUUUGUCCGUUCUGUCAAGGUGGGAGAGUGUUUCUUCGAGGUUGCCGAAGUAAGUGGUUUGAAUUCGACGACGAAAAUGGGCGGAAUGGAUGGCUUUUUGUCACAACGUUUUCAAGGACAUCAGAUCAGUGUCAGGAAUAGGAUGAGGUUCCCACUAAAUCAAGGAAUUCAAGGAAAGAAAGGAAAACAAAACAAUUUUCAAAAACAUUGACUGAAACACGAACGUGAAGGCAAGUUUUAUUCAGAGGUAUAAAGCAUAUUUAGAGCAAUUCCAUCAAGAAUACGGCGAAUCAGAACAAAGAGACAUUCACUAAAAUCGACAACUUGAAGCCAGACGUAAGCAAAUGUUAUCACGCGAUUUUAUUGGACUUCGAAUUUUUUUUUGUCGGCUUAAUAUCCAUGGCAUGGGCUGUUUAAAAAAAUUUGACUUUCCCGCCAAAAAACUUA